UACGAAGGGGGCUAGCGUUGUUCGGAAUUACUGGGCGUAAAGCGUAUGCAGGCGGAUCGUUAAGUCGGGGGUGAAAUCCCGAGGCUCAACCUCGGAACUGCCUUCGAUACUGGCGAUCUUGAGUCCGGGAGAGGUGAGUGGAACUCCGAGUGUAGAGGUGAAAUUCGUAGAUAUUCGGAAGAACACCAAUGGCGAAGGCAGCUCGCUGGGACGUGACUGACGCUGAGACGGCGAAAGCGUGGGGAGCGAACAGG
rnacentral:rRNA from 1 species